rnacentral:lncRNA from 1 species
GGGGGAGAGAGAAAAUCCUUAAUCUACUUGACGAAGCCACAAAGCCUAAACCGGGCAACGCGCAAUUAGUGGGCUAGAGAAAGCCUUUGGAAACCAUUUUCUGGAUAGGAGGACAGAGAAAGGACUGGGUACAACAUCCCCCUUUUCCUCCCUGGAGCAAUACCUGCAGAGAACAUUUAUUUCUGGAUCUUGAAGUAAUCAAAGCCAGGUGAUGAGUUGGCAAACACCACAGAGGACCCCCUUUCUCCCUGGUUAUCUUCCAGAGCACAACGGGUCUUGGUUGCCUUACAUACAUAACCAGAAGGUUGGACCUCCAAGGUCCCUUCUUGACAGACCCUCCUAACCCUUCUCCAGAGCUCCUUUUGGGCCAAGUUCAUCACUGGGAAUUUUAUUACCCUCCAGAAGCUUGUUGUAAAAGCCAGUUCCCGACAUCCAGGAUCCCAAGACCCGGCAGUAACUUUUCUUGAGUUAUUGAGCUCAGGAUUCCCUAACCCACCCAUGUGCAAACAGACGGUAAUCCCCAGCUUGUAAUGCUCAAAAAAAAAAUUAAAAAAAAGCCUCCAUCCCGUGUGAAUCCCACAGAUGUCUUCUUUCUGGACCACUCUGGCAGGUGGGAGGGAGCUUCAGCUUCGGGGAGGACAAGAUCUCCGCUGCGAGCACCUCGUUUUUUGCUGAGUUGCCUGAAUGAAAAAAAAAAAAGCCCCCUUUCCCUUCCGCUCUUCCUCCUCUCUCCUCGGUCCCUUCUACGCCCAACUCCUCCGUGGAGCCGUUCUUAUAGAAUCCUGUCCCCAUCCCAGCGUCUCCCCCGGCAUGACUACCAGAAGAGGAUGGAGUGGCUCCGUGGUGGAGCCAAACGAAAACUCUAAAUGGUAGAAGAGGCAUUUCGAUUUCUCUUCUGCCCAGCUGACAGUGGGUUUACAGUUUAUAAUCUGGCCUUUGUAAAAGCAUUUGUCAGCCUGUAUAUUUCAUUUUAAACACGACCACCCACCGGGACGGACAACCAGGAAGCAUUUGUUCAUUUGCACCAAGAACUGAUGGGAGGCUUGGCUGCCAAAUCACAAGAAUUUAGUCACAAAGGGGAAUUUUUUUGGCAUUAUCUCCCUCGGAUCUCGCCGGCGAGAGGGCCAGUGUUUAUACCAAGC